GGGGGUGUACUGGCUUCGACGGGUAUCUGAACUAUUAAGUGGCAGUGGUCUGGUAGACCAUAAUACUUCUAGGCUUUUUUAAGCGCAGAAAACAAAAAACAAGAAGAAGCUUUCUUUAUGCAAAAAGCUUUAUCUUCAAGAAGCCUAUUAUUUGCUUAAUUAAAUAAUAGCCGAACGGCAAGCGGCUCGGUUUGCCAUGGUUCGUUGGAGAGCUUGACAGUAAGCAACUUAGUCUAACUUAUUGUGACAUCUCAGACUAAAAACAUAUUUAGAACUUUGUCAAUUUAAUAUAAAUAAUGUUUAACAUGAAAUUGAAUAAACUGUAGAAACUUAAUAGGAAUGGUGCACGGACCGGGGUUCGAUUCCCCGCAUCUCCACCA
rnacentral:tmRNA from 1 species